CCUACGGGUGGCAGCAGUGGGGAAUAUUGGGCAAUGGGCGCAAGCCUGACCCAGCAACGCCGCGUGAAGGAAGAAGGCCCUCGGGUUGUAAACUUCUUUUAUCAAGGACGAAACAAAUGACGGUACUUGAUGAAUAAGCCACGGCUAACUACGUGCCAGCAGCCGCGGUAAUACGGAGGAUCCGAGCGUUAUCCGGAUUCAUUGGGUUUAAAGGGUGCGUAGGUUGUUUUAUAAGUUAGCGGGGAAAUACCGAUGCUCAACAUCGGGGCUGCCGCUGAUACUGUAGGACUAGAGAUCGGAUGCAGCAGGCGGAAUGUGUAGUGUAGCGGUGAAAUGCAUAGAUAUUACACAGAACACCGAUUGCGAAGGCAGCUUGCUAGGCCGGAUCUGACACUGAUGCACGAAAGCGUGGGGAUCGAACAGGAUUAGAUACCCUAGUAGUC
rnacentral:rRNA from 1 species